AUAGACCACGCUGGCCUCAAACUCAGAAAUCCACCUGCCUCUGCCUCCCAAGUGCUGGGAUUAAAAGUGGGUGCUACCACUGCCCAGCCAGGUCUCUGCUUUUAAGAGAGUGUGUUGUUGGAGCAUUUUCUUGAAGGGGAACAGGCCUAUGCUCUCACAUGCUGGACCAUGAAGGAGUAAGAGAAUCUGAUGCAUGAAGCCUUUCUAUAUAGGGACUUUGAUCUCACAGAGGAGAGAAAGAAAAGAGCUUGUGGCCUACUCACUCCCAUGGGUCCUACUGCUUAAAUCCAUCACAUUGGCGACAGCUAGAGAGGACAUGUUCAACCUGGAAAAGCCAUUAGCAGAUAGCAAAGAGUGCCUGGGUUCUCAGCUUCCAACAGACUUUUCAUUGCCUCACUCGUCACCACUUCUACCUGAAUUGAGGGUGUGCAACUGUCCAUCGUCCUAUUCUGCUUCUCCUGGAUCCUAUUUGGUUUCUGCCCCUACUUUCAGCAUCUUAUCUACCCCUCAAUUCUAAGCCCACAACAAAUAUUCCAUGGCAUCCAGGCAGGCUUUCCUAGUGCCACCCUGUGCUACCUGGCUCCACACCCACACUUUACUUCAUUGUGUCAUUAGGCAUGUCUGCAUUCAUGCUGUGCUCAUCUGAUGAGUCACCAGAAGGAAAACAGGCUAUUGUAUCAAGAACAGAGACCCAAAGAUGAGUGUGAAUCCCGAUACAGUAGUUUGCUAGCUGUGGAAGUUGUUUUUAGUUUCCUCAUCAUAGCCUUCAUUUCACAGUGUAAUCAUGACAAUAAUGAUGGUGCUGCUGUUGCUG